rnacentral:rRNA from 1 species
UUGCCAGCCCGCUCAGAACUUAAAGGAAUUGACGGGGCCCGCACAAGCGGUGGAGCAUGUGGUUUAAUUCGAUGCAACGCGAAGAACCUUACCUGGUCUUGACAUCCCGGAGACCCUUAGGAAACUAGGGGGUGCUUCCAUCUGGAAGAAUCUGGAGACAGGUGCUGCAUGGCUGUCGUCAGCUCGUGUCGUGAGAUGUUGGGUUAAGUCCCGCAACGAGCGCAACCCUUGCCUUUAGUUGCCAGCAGUUCGGCUGGGCACUCUAAAGGGACUGCCGGUGUUAAACCGGAGGAAGGUGGGGAUGACGUCAAGUCCUCAUGGCCUUUAUGACCAGGGCUACACACGUACUACAAUGGCCGAUACAAAGGGCAGCGACACUGCGAGGUGAAGCCAAUCCCGUAAAAUCGGUCUCAGUCCGGAUUGGAGUCUGCAACUCGACUCCAUGAAGUUGGAAUCGCUAGUAAUCGUGGAUCAGCAUGCCACGGUGAAUACGUUCCCGGGCCUU